AGAGUUUGAUCAUGGCUCAGGACGAACGCUGGCGGCGUGCUUAACACAUGCAAGUCGAACGGAAAGGCCCUUCGGGGUGCUCGAGUGGCGAACGGGUGAGUAACACGUGGGUGAUCUGCCCUGCACUUUGGGAUAAGCCUGGGAAACUGGGUCUAAUACCGAAUAGGACUCCGGACUGCAUGGUCUGGGGUGGAAAGCUUUUGCGGUGUGGGAUGGGCCCGCGGCCUAUCAGCUUGUUGGUGGGGUGAUGGCCUACCAAGGCGACGACGGGUAGCCGGCCUGAGAGGGUGACCGGCCACACUGGGACUGAGAUACGGCCCAGACUCCUACGGGAGGCAGCAGUGGGGAAUAUUGCACAAUGGGCGCAAGCCUGAUGCAGCGACGCCGCGUGAGGGAUGACGGCCUUCGGGUUGUAAACCUCUUUCAGUAGGGACGAAGCGAAAGUGACGGUAUCUACAGAAGAAGGACCGGCCAACUACGUGCCAGCAGCCGCGGUAAUACGUAGGGUCCGAGCGUUGUCCGGAAUUACUGGGCGUAAAGAGCUCGUAGGUGGUUUGUCGCGUUGUUCGUGAAAACUCACAGCUUAACUGUGGGCGUGCGGGCGAUACGGGCAGACUAGAGUACUGCAGGGGAGACUGGAAUUCCUGGUGUAGCGGUGGAAUGCGCAGAUAUCAGGAGGAACACCGGUGGCGAAGGCGGGUCUCUGGGCAGUAACUGACGCUGAGGAGCGAAAGCGUGGGUAGCGAACAGGAUUAGAUACCCCGGUAGUCCAA
rnacentral:rRNA from 1 species